UUGUAAUUCCUUUAAGACGAACUAGUUGUUACUUGAUGUGAGUUGAGCAAGAAAAAUGGGUUCCUCAAGAUCAAUGCUUUUCUUCAUUAAUCUUGCUAUUAUUAUCUUAAGCCUUGUUGCUCCCACCAUAUCCCAAAAUGAUGGAAUAUGCACGUUUAGAGCUGAUUACUGCUGGAAAUGCUCUGAUACUGGCACUUACACAGCAGGUGACAAGUACCAAGAGAACCUCAACAGCCUCCUCUCUUCCUUCUCCUCCAGCACCCAAAACAAUUCCGGGUUUUACAGUUCAUCCAGGGGACAAGACUCCAACAAGAUCAAUGCAAUUGCAUUAUGCAGAGGAGAUAUCUCACAGGACUCUUGUCAGGUUUGUCUCAACAAGUCUACUGAUAUUCUCUUGCAAAAUUGUUCAACUCAAAAGGAAGCAAUCAUAUGGGCAGAGCCUUGUAUGGUGAGAUACUCAUACAACUUGAUAUUUGGUAUUGAACAAACGGACCCUUUUAAGCAUGUGCCUAGUCCAAACUUCCCUAAAAAUCCUGAACAGUUUGCGCUGGUGCUUACCCCCUUGUUGGAUAAUUUAAGUGACAGAGCUGCGUCAGGGAAUUCUCUUAAAAAAUUUGCAGCAGGGCAUGCAACUGUCCCUGGAGGUGAAACAAUAUACGCACUUGCUCAGUGCACUCCAGACAUAGACAAGCAAAAUUGCAGCAGUUGCCUUAAACAGUCCGUCACAGAAAUUCCAAUCUGUUGCGGUGGAAGGAAUGGAGGAAGAGUCCUUAAACCCAGCUGUAAUUUAAGGUAUGAGAAUAAUAGUUUCUUUGCGUCUAAGGACGAUUCGUCAGUAGAUAUUCCAGCUCCAGUUCCGGCAACACCACCAGCACUCAAAGAAGAAAAGAAGAAGAGUAACAUAAAACAAAUUGCCAUCAUCAUCGUUGUGGUUUUGGUUGCUUUUGUCACUAUUCUCAGCAGCAUAUUCAUUUUCUUAAGACUAACGAAACGAAGGGUAAAACUUGACGAAGAUGAGAAUUCGGAAGACAUGAGUCUGGCGGAAUCGUUGCAAUAUGAUUUUGAAACUAUAAGAAUUGCAACAGAUGACUUCUCUGAUGCAAAUAAGCUUGGAGGAGGUGGAUUUGGAGCCGUUUACAAGGGUAGACUAUUAAAUGGGCAACCUAUAGCAGUGAAAAGGCUCUCCAAAAAUUCUGAACAAGGUGAUCGUGAAUUUAAGAACGAGGUCAUGUUACUUGCUCAGCUUCAACACCGGAAUUUAGUAAGGCUCCUAGGAUUUUGCUUGAAAACAGACGAAAGGCUUCUCAUUUACGAAUACGUGCCUAACAAAAGUCUUGAUCACUUCAUUUUUGACCCAAACAAUCACGAGCAUUUGGAUUGGGACACACGUUACAAGAUCAUAGAAGGUAUUGCUCGAGGGAUUCUUUACCUCCAUGAAGAUUCUCGGGUUCGAAUUAUUCAUCGCGAUCUCAAAGCCAGCAAUAUUUUGUUAAAUGAAGAUAUGACCCCUAAAAUUGCUGAUUUUGGAAUGGCGAGAUUGUUUGCUAUUGAUCAAACUCAAGGAGUUACAAAGACAGUUAGGGGAACCUAUGGAUAUAUGGCUCCUGAGUACGCAAUUCAUGGUCGCUUUUCUGUCAAAACGGAUGUCUUCAGUUUUGGGGUGUUAGUUCUUGAAAUUGUAAGCGGUAAAAAGAUUGGUAGUUUCCGAUAUGGCGAGAAUGGAGAGGACCUGUUAACCUAUGCCUGGAGAAAUUGGAGGGAGGAUACAAUUCCAAACAUCAUAGAUCCCGUGUUGACGACAAGUUCACAAAUCGAAACGAUGAGAUGCAUCCACAUUGGUUUACUGUGUGUGCAACAGAAUGUGGUGGACAGGCCAACCACGGUUUCAGUUGUAUCCAUGCUUAACAGCCAGUCUAUCGCACUUCCAGUACCCUCACAACCUGCAUUCUAUAUGCAUCACAACACUGGAUCAGACAUAUCUGCACUGACUGAGUCAGACCAAUCCAAAAGCCUCUCUGUCUAUGUCACAGCCUCACAGGAAAUGACCCUUCAAAUAUAACUGAAGCAUAUCCUCACUAAUGGUCGAGUACCAACCAUUCUGUAACAAAUUUAGGCUUUAAAUUUUGGUUUAUUUACUAUGUUAGCACUAAAGUUUAGUUGGUGUCUUCUUGCUUCAGGGGACCUUUGAAUUUCUGCUGUCUAAUCGGCAGUCUAAAACGUACAGCCACUUCUUUGACAAGAAGUGUCACUUGUCACUUGUCUUUAUAUUGGAAAUGAUGAAAUAUUGUCAAAUGGUGAAACACCAAUUGGUGCUUAAGGCGAAGAGUAUGCAUUCAUAGUUGAGGCUUCUCAAUGGCCUUUUUAUAGAUGUCUUCCAGGACAGUUGAUGCCUUUCCUUUUAAUAGGUUUAAUAGAAAAAUUGUAAUUGCUUACAUUUUACCAAUGGUUUGAAACUAUUCUCCUUGAACUCUCGCCUUACGAUUCCUUCUUUUCGGGAUGUAUAUUCUACUGUCUAUAUCUCAUUAUAUCUGCUCUUCAUGGUAUAAUUCCAGCGUAAAGGAUCUGAUCUGUGGUUUGGUAGGCCUCUCAAUCUCUGAUCCUGUCAUCCUGUCUGGCCUUGGAGCUGAGUUGUAUGGACAUGAAAGAAGAAAAAGAUUGAGCAGCUUCUUUCUUGAGUGGCUUUUUUCUACGGUAGUGCCCACUUUGCCUUAGCUUGGAAAUGUAGUUCAGAAGCUUUCACUUGAUCAAAAUUUUGUAAUGGGUGUUUUGGUAACGUUUUGUUGUCUGCUCAAACUUCUUGUAAUUAGAAUAUUUUAUAUUCUGCUUUUGUCAAUGAAGUAUAUCUUCUCAAACAUUCUGGUCUGAGUUCUUUGUUUUGAAUAUUCGGUUUGCAUGUUCCCACUGCUCCCCAAGCUAUACUCAAGCAUUGAGGUUGAGCUCAAAUUUUUCCUUUCUGCAUGCAAAGCUUAGGCGGAUUGGAUUUUUCUUGUUGUGGAGGUUAAAAGCAGCUAACAUGAUUGAAUUAUUUAUAUGCUACUUGAAAAUGAAGUCACCACUAGCUCUCUUGCCAUCUUCAAACACAACUUUCAGUCGAAAUAGGAUUCAGAUCUUCGGGAGAUGAUGGCUCUAGAUUUACUGGGGCAGAAUGAGCCAUAAAGUUCAUAGAUUUCAUGCAGCAUGCUCUUGAUCUUGAUGAUGGUUAGAGCUUGAAACGUACAUAGAUGGGGUAUAACCAUCAAUUUGUUGACUAAAAAGUUGAGGCAUGUUGGAGUCCAUUUGGCU